CCAAGGGAAGGAACUGGCUCGCCCUCUACUGGCCAAGGGAAGGAACUGGCGCCCUCUACUGGCGACAGCAGAGAAUGGAAUUUGAAGAUCUAUAUUAAAAUCCCUCCAGAUCUUGAGUCAUAACUUCCACAGCCCUCAUGAUCUACUAAGUGACCAGAACGAUGUGGUUGACGUGCCCUGGGUUUCUGGGGCCGCUUCAGGGCCGUCAAGGGCCGUUCAGUGGGUUUCCCCACACGCCAAGCUAUGUCUGUCCGACCCAAUCGUUCAGCCGAGAUAAGCGUUUCCUUCCUGUGCAGACUGUACUAACUAAAGCAGCGCGGGCCACAAACCAGGGAUUAUUCCGUUUCCUGCGCAUUACAAAACUCGGAGAUGCUGCAACAAUAUUGCAGAGCCAGAAGGGGGAAAUCAGAGCGCUCGUGAUCGUCAGUGGGAAACGUGGACUUUUGAGGCUGCUGUCUUCCAGCUCCUUCUCACUCACUCAGUUAAGGCGGCUUUUGGCAAAUGGUUAAACUUGCUGAAUCUCCGUGUUCUAACAUGAUGUGCCCAAGGGAGUUGCCAGAAGAGAGGAAGGCAAUAGUUGGGCAUAAGGCAUGCGCUCGAUAAAUGAUCACAGCUGCGCUGAUAUUUUUAAUUAGUAUUAAAAUGGUUAUUAAAAAUAUUCUUAGGUGA